AAAUCCUAAUGGAUCUUAAUUAAAUCCUAGAUCAAAUCCUAACUAAAAUCUAAAUCAAAUUUUAGAUAUAUCUUAAAUCUUAAAUCAAAUCCUUAACAAAUCUAAAAUCCUAAAUCAAAUUGUAGACAAAUACUACACAAAUUCUAAAUUCUAAAUCAAACCUUAAAAAAAUCCUAAAUAUUAAAUCAAAUCCUAUUAAAAUCCUAAAUCCUAAAUCAAAUUCUAAAUAAAUCUUAAAACUCUAAAUCAAAUUCUAUAAAAAUCCUAAAUCCUAAAUAAAAUUGUAGACAAAUCCUAAAUCCUAAAUCAAAUCCUAAAUAAAUUUUAAAUUCUAAAUUAAACUCUAAAUAAAUAUUAAAUCCUAAAAUAAACUCUAAAUAAAACCUAAACUCUAAAUUCAACCCUAAUCAAAACCUAAUCAACUCAAAUCAAUCCUAAAGAAGAUUA
rnacentral:lncRNA from 1 species